rnacentral:tRNA from 1 species
GCGGAUUGGGAGGCGGUGGACAACCUCGUGCGGCUCCAGUUCGCGCACGCGCAUUCCUUCCCGCACGAUCUCCUCGCGCUCAUCCGCG